rnacentral:misc_RNA from 1 species
UUAAUUCUUGCUUAGGUUCAGACAAACACAUUCUGGUGCAUAGGUGCGGGGCCGAAGCCCCGAAGCACGGUUCGCUUCCACAGGUUUGAAGGUAGAAGGCCGGAGCCAUUCAUUAAUGAUCCCUCCGCAGGUUCACCUACGGAGA